rnacentral:rRNA from 1 species
GAUGAACGCUGGCGGCGUGUCUAACACAUGCAAGUCGAACGAAGCACAUUGGAUUGAUUCUUCGGAUGAAGACCUUUGUGACUGAGCGGCGGACGGGUGAGUAACGCGUGGGUAACCUGCCUCAUACAGGGGGAUAACAGUUAGAAAUGACUGCUAAUACCGCAUAAGACCACAGUACCGCAUGGUACAGGGGUAAAAACUCCGGUGGUAUGAGAUGGACCCGCGUCUGAUUAGCUGGUUGGUGGGGUAACGGCCUACCAAGGCGACGAUCAGUAGCCGGCCUGAGAGGGCGACGGCCACAUUGGGACUGAGACACGGGCCCAAACUCCUACGGGAGGCAGCAAGUGGGGAAUAUUGCACAAUGGGCGAAAGCCUGAUGCAGCGACGCCGCGUGAGCGAUGAAGUAUUUC